ACACUCCAUGCAGCAACAAACCAACAAAGUGAUCACCAGCACCAGCCAACUCAUCAAACAGCUCUCUGAUAUAAUCAGCAGCUCUUCACGGCAAGACCGUCUGCACCUGACUAGACUAAAGACUGAACUCUCAGAGUCUGUGCAGCGCUACGGGGAUCUGCAGAAGAAAAUUGCGGAGCGUUCAAGGGCCCUGCUGCCUCCAGCACUGAGAGACAAGAAGGUGAGCU